UGGUCAAUGAAGAGAACUUGAUUUGAUUGCCUGAUAACUCCAUGAGGGCAAUUUCAGUCACUACCUCGUCUGAGGCCA